AAAAUAUACUGCAGCCAGCAUUUGCUGAAACACAAUACAUAAGACACAUAAAGAAACCAACUGAAACAGAAAUGAACAAGGAUAGAAAGGCAGCUGGUCUUAUCUUCAUUAUUAUCUCUCUUCUUCUGCUCUGCAUUGCUUCAGGUGAGAAGGACCAAAUGAACCAGAUGUUUAGCAGAGGACUUCGACUUAUUGUGGAAGUUCCUCACGGCCGUGUUGACCACAUGGUGACUCCAAAGGUGCAUGUUCUUCUCCCUACCGGUGUUCAGAAGCAGCGUGCAGAGAGAGUGACGCUCGCCUGUGUCAUCAACGGGCUACCGUCUAAAGCAGUGAGGAUCACAUGGAAGGUCAACGGAGCAACAGGUCUCAAAAAACACAGCAGCCCUCCACAAGUGCACCGAGAGCCUGGAGGCACAUUCUCUGCCGUGGGCCUGUACUCGGUGCUCACUCAUAAAUGGAAUCAUGGGAAUACGUACAGGUGUGAGGUGACUUACAAAGCGGCGUUUUACUACGAUAAAGCAGAGUCGUCUCUCUGUGUUCCUCCUGAGGGACUGUAACUUUGUCCUGUGUUAGAGAUUC